AUGGUUAAGUGGGAAACGAUGUGGGAAGGCCCAGACAGCCAGGAUGUUGGCUUAGAAGCAGCCAUCAUUUAAAGAAAGCGUAAUAGCUCACUGGUCGAGUCGGCCUGCGCGGAAGAUGUAACGGGGCUAAACCAUGCACCGAAGCUGCGGCAGCGACGCUUAUGCGUUGUUGGGUAGGGGAGCGUUCUGUAAGCCUGUGAAGGUGUACUGUGAGGUAUGCUGGAGGUAUCAGAAGUGCGAAUGCUGACAUAAGUAACGAUAAAGCGGGUGAAAAGCCCGCUCGCCGGAAGACCAAGGGUUCCUGUCCAACGUUAAUCGGGGCAGGGUGAGUCGACCCCUAAGGCGAGGCCGAAAGGCGUAGUCGAUGGGAAACAGGUUAAUAUUCCUGUACUUGGUGUUACUGCGAAGGGGGGACGGAGAAGGCUAUGUUGGCCGGGCGACGGUUGUCCCGGUUUAAGCGUGUAGGCUGGUUUUCCAGGCAAAUCCGGAAAAUCAAGGCUGAGGCGUGAUGACGAGGCACUACGGUGCUGAAGCAACAAAUGCCCUGCUUCCAGGAAAAGCCUCUAAGCAUCAGGUAACAUCAAAUCGUACCCCAAACCGACACAGGUGGUCAGGUAGAGAAUACCAAGGCGCUUGAGAGAACUCGGGUGAAGGAACUAGGCAAAAUGGUGCCGUAACUUCGGGAGAAGGCACGCUGAUAUGUAGGUGAAGCGACUUGCUCGUGGAGCUGAAAUCAGUCGAAGAUACCAGCUGGCUGCAACUGUUUAUUAAAAACACAGCACUGUGCAAACACGAAAGUGGACGUAUACGGUGUGACGCCUGCCCGGUGCCGGAAGGUUAAUUGAUGGGGUCAGCGCAAGCGAAGCUCUUGAUCGAAGCCCCGGUAAACGGCGGCCGUAACUAUAACGGUCCUAAGGUAGCGAAAUUCCUUGUCGGGUAAGUUCCGACCUGCACGAAUGGCGUAAUGAUGGCCAGGCUGUCUCCACCCGAGACUCAGUGAAAUUGAACUCGCUGUGAAGAUGCAGUGUACCCGCGGCAAGACGGAAAGACCCCGUGAACCUUUACUAUAGCUUGACACUGAACAUUGAGCCUUGAUGUGUAGGAUAGGUGGGAGGCUU
rnacentral:rRNA from 1 species